rnacentral:rRNA from 1 species
UACGUAGGGUGCAAGCGUUGUCCGGAAUUAUUGGGCGUAAAGAGCUCGUAGGCGGUCUGUCGCGUCGGCUGUGAAAUCCCGAGGCUCAACCUCGGGUCUGCAGUCGAUACGGGCAAACUGGAGUGUUGCAGGGGAGACUGGAAUUCCUGGUGUAGCGGUGAAAUGCGCAGAUAUCAGGAGGAACACCGGUGGCGAAGGCGGGUCUCUGGACAACAACUGACGCUGAGGAGCGAAAGCGUGGGGAGCGAACAGG